AACGAACGCUGGCGGCGUGUUUAAGACAUGCAAGUCGCACGGGAUAAGACAUGUAGUAAUACUUGUUUUAUUUAGUGGCGCACGGGUGAGUAACACGUGAAUUACAUGCCCUAUAGUGGGGAAUAGCCCAGGGAAACUUGGAGUAAUACCCCAUGGUAUCGAAAGAUUAAAGGUGGCCGCAAGGCUGUCGUUAUAGGAUUGGUUCGCGCCCUAUCAGCUUGUUGGUGAGGUUACGGCUCACCAAGGCAAUGUAGGGUACCUGGUCUGAGAGGACGAUCAGGCACACUGGAACUGAGACACGGUCCAGACACCUACGGGUGGCAGCAGUCGAGAAUAAUUCACAAUGGGGGCAACCCUGAUGGUGCAACGCCGCGUGGAGGAUGACGGUCUUCGGAUUGUAAACUCCUGUCAUCUGGGAGAAAGACCUGACGGUAAAUAGCCGGCAGGGUUGAUAGUACCAGAAGAGGAAGGGACGGCUAACUUCGUGCCAGCCGCCGCGGUAA
rnacentral:rRNA from 1 species